UCACUGUAAUUGUCAGUGUCAGUAAUGGCGACCAUUUGUGAGAACGGCGUGGAACACGCGUUAGUUUUCGCGAAUACACCGGUUACAACCAAAAUGCCCGCGCAAGAAGUCGCGGUGCCGGAACCACCAGCUACGGAGAGUGAAGAGAACAAUGUCCCUUCUUCUCAACCGAUCGUAGGCAUUAUUUAUCCGCCUCCGGAAGUUAGAAAUAUCGUUGACAAAACUGCUAGCUUUGUAGCCAGGAAUGGGCCGGAGUUCGAAUCCAGGAUCAGACAGAAUGAAUUGGGCAAUCCCAAAUUUAAUUUCUUAAACUUUGGUGAUCCGUAUCAUGCUUAUUAUCAGCAUAAAGUAAAGGAGUUUAAGGAAGGAAAAGGGCAGGAGCCUACAGUAGGCUCAACCCCUGGGAAAACUGUUACACUUACCGCGCAUCAGAAACAGCAGGAAAUCUUGAAACAAGUUGAACAACCAUUUGUGCCCAAGGAUCCACCAGUUGAAUUUGAAUUCAUCGCAGAUCCCCCUUCUAUAUCAGCUUUGGAUCUAGAUAUUGUGAAACUAACCGCUCAGUUUGUUGCACGUAACGGAAGGCAGUUCUUGACCAACUUGAUGAAUCGUGAACAAAGGAAUUUUCAAUUUGAUUUCUUGCGUCCUCAACAUUCUUUGUUUCAAUAUUUUACUAAACUUUUGGAGCAAUAUACCAAGGUAUUGAUUCCACCUAAAGAUUUGUUGCCGCGUCUCAAAGAUGAGGCACUCAAUAUGGAUAAGAUUUUGGACCAGGUGAAAUACCGCGCCGAGUAUUUAAAAUAUCAGGAGGCACAGAGACGUAAAGAAGAAGAGGAAUUGGAAAGAGAAAGAGUCGCCUAUGCGCAAAUUGAUUGGCACGAUUUCGUCGUGGUUGAGACAGUGGACUAUCAACAAUUCGAAGUCGGUAAUUUCCCAGCACCGACGACACCAGACGAAGUUGGAGCGCGUGUUCUAAUGCAGGAACGUAUAGAAGAUGGUGAGGAUGUGGAAAUGCAAAUUGAUAGUGACGCAGAAGACGAAGCGCAGACGCGCACAGAUGGUGAAAAAGGCGAUCGUGCAAAAGAUAAUAAUCAAGUGCAAGAUAUGGAGGAAGAUUCCAGCGACGAAGACGACGUAUCUCCACCAGGUGAUACUCACAAAUCUAAAGACUCCAAACCACGCGAAACGAGCAUGCAGCCUCCUCCGUUACCGCCUACACCAGGAAAUGUGAUGGUUAAGAAAGGAUACGAUCCAAAACAUGCUAUUAAAACUGUUCGCCCCGUUGGUUCUGAUGAGUACUUGAUGAUUUCGCCGCUUACACGCGAACACAUCCCUGCUAACAAAGUGCAAGAGCACAUGCGCAUCGGAUUGUUGGAUCCGCGCUGGGUUGAGCAACGAGACAAACAUUUGGAUAAAUUAGCGCAAGAAACUGUGUUUGCGCCAGGCACAGCUAUCGAGGCGAGUCUCAAGCAACUCGCCGAGAGACGUACCGAUAUAUUCGGUGUCGGCGAUGAAGAAACGGCGAUUGGUAAGAAAAUUGGUGAAGAGGACAAGAAGAAGGAUGAUAAGGUCACAUGGGAUGGUCACACGUCGAGCGUAGAGGCAGCAACGAGAGCUGCACGCGCCAAUAUCACGCUGGAAGAACAGAUUCAUCAAAUACAUAAGGUCAAGGGUCUUCUUCCCGACGAGGAGAAGGAAAAGAUCGGUCCAAAACCGGUGAAUCGCGCGACCGAACUUUCCCACAUGGCUGCCGCCGCUUCAAAACCGCAAGCUACGUUGAAAGCACCUCCAAAACCGCCCGCACCAAAGCCAAUACCAGUGCCUGCUCAACCUCCUCCACCACCGACCAUGAGUAUGCCAACUAUGGGCAUCCCUCAGCCAAUGAUGCCACAGCCGCCAAUGAUGAUGAUGGCACCUAUGCCACCUAUGGCACCCCGACCACCACCUCUAAUGCCUCCAGCGAUGUCUCCGUUCAUGCCGGCGCCACCACCGAUGCAGCCACCGAUGGCAUCCGCUAUUGGAUUAAAACAUCCUGCUAGUAAACCACUAGAAGAAGAACCACAAGCUAAGAAACUGAGAACUGAAGAUUCAUUAAUUCCAGAACAACAAUUCCUUGCUAGAAAUAAGGGACCUGUACAAAUUAACAUCGCUGUGCCUAUGAUGACGGAGAAAGCUGAAUGGAAAUUGAAUGGUCAAACACUGAACAUUACUUUACAACUAACCGAUACUGUGGCAAUCAUGAAAGCGCUUAUCCACGAGCAAACUGGUAUGCCACCUGGAAAACAAAAGUUGCAGCAUGAGGGAAUGUUUUUCAAAGAUAACAAUACUCUCGCUUAUUACAAUUUAACUUCGGGUAACGUUAUCAAUCUGCUACCGAAAGAAAGAGGUGGUAGAAAGAAGUAAAUACAAAUAAUAAAUAAAUGGAGAUGCUUACGUGAGGACCACCCACGAUCUCUUCCAAAACGCUACAUUCUUUCGACGUGCUGGAAUCCAUCCAUACGGGUGAAUGAGUCACGGAGAACGACGUAGCGAAUUGUUCGUAUAAAAAUUUGGUGGGGUUUAAAUGCUGUAAUCGACUUUGGCUGCCUUUGCCCCAAUAAAUUGUGCCGUGUUGCUAAACGUAUCAUAGAAAUAUAGAAAAAAUCACGUUACCUGCGCACAUCCAGAGAUGGCUACGACCUUACUGAAAUCGACACCGCAGACACGUAGUUUGUCAAGUAUCAUGUCUAAGGCCUUAACCCACAUUAAAGAAGGCACCACCACGACAUGCGGUUCCUCUUUUUUCUGUAUAACUCCUCCGUAAGUCCUACAAUAUUCAAAUACUCGUAUUAUAAGAUAAAAGAUGCAAAAUUAUAA